CAAAAUAUUAAAAUAAAAAUGUGAAUUGAAUGCCGGUAGCAGGAUUCAAAGGGAAACCAACAAAAAAAAGGAGGCGCAAGUCCAAAUUAAGUUGAUAUUUGUGACUUUUUUUCAGGCUCCUUAUACAUGAUUUUUCUUCAUUAAAAAAAAGUUCUUAUUUUUAAAAGAACUUAAUUUAAUUUGUGUUUGGCCAGACUUCUCCUUAAAACUAGAGAAAAGUCAUAAUAAAGUUGGGCCAAACGGUACCUUAAGCAUUGAUGGAUAAAUUGAGAGUGAAUACGAUGGAGAGAGAGUAAAAGGGAGAAGAUUACACGGCGGAUUCAUCUCUGGUUGCCGCUGAAUAGAUUAAGAAGAUAAGUAACAG
rnacentral:lncRNA from 1 species